UCUUUUCUUUUCUUUUUUUUUUUUUAAAUCUCCUCCCAUACUGCUUUCUCCCCCUCUUCUCCUCCCACCUUUCUCCCCUCUUUCUCCUCCUCUCCCCUCUUCUUUUUCAUGCUUCUUGUUAUAUAUAAAGCUAUUCUCAGCAUUUCAGGGACUUCCCUAACUUGAUUUAUUUCAUCAAUAACUACUUUUUGAGCACCUCCUAUAUGCACUGUACAAGAUACUACCAUGGAUAAAAAAGUAUACUAGAAUUCACUCAGCAAGUAUUUACUAAGAGCUAUUCUGUUUCAGGCUGUCUUUGACCCAUGACUAAUGAUUUAGACCCUACCCUCAAGGACCUUGUAUGCCAGUACCUAUUUGUAAUGACUAUAAUGAAAAAAUUAAAAACAGAUUGGUGAGAUACAGACCAAAUGUCAUGGAAUUUCAGAGGCAAGGGGUUUUUAAAUCUAAAGUAAUCUGAGAAGGCAUCAUGGCUGAAAGUAUAUUUGAUCUGUCCUUUGAAGGGUAUAUUCAUAUAGGUGAAGACACAAGGAAAGCAUUUGAAGUAAUGGGAUUAGCAUGGUGAGUACACAAAGGGGAAAAGGUGUGGGAUUAACACCAGGGACAUCAACUAGUUAAUUUGAUUCUAUGUGUACAGUAUAUAAAAAAAAAAGUACUAAAUAAUAACAAUGUGAACAUAGUUUGGAGCCUUGAAUGUUGGCUAAAGAAGCUGAGGCUUUUAUGGGAGGGAAUUAAGACCAUUGGUUAUACAGAAGGAAAUAAAAGAGAAGAAGUGAAAGUUAAGGUAAUUACUUACAGGCUGUUAGGAAAAUGAAGAGAAGAGAUAACAAAGGCUAAAAAUAGGGCACUAAGAGCAAGAAUUCAAAAAAUAAAAAUGGUAUCCAUCUAGAUUGAAAAUCACGAUUUUUCUUCUCUACAUGCAAAGUCCUUAUCUCUAGAAAAUCUAUCUUCCUCCCUUCAGUCAUGUCCUAGGUCUCAAAAAAGUUUCAUUCCAUGGUACCUUGUAAAAUCAGGGUCUUGGAAAUGUCUCAUUAGUUCACACUGGACCACUGGUAUCUGUUUUCCAUAGGCUCCUUGAGAGACUUCACCUAUUUUUCACCUACCAGGCACCCAGCAAUUGCUGAAAGGCCUUUUUAAAAAUCUGUCUUGUUUUAUCUUCUUUAAAAUCCAUGAUCAAGGCCACAUGAAGCAUUGACAGUCUCUGGACCCUUGGAGGGAGAAGAAUAAACUCAGGGUACGCUGGUGAAUGAUCCUGGCCUUUUCCGCUGACAACUUUGUGGCAUCUUUGGCUGUCCUUUUUAUGUACUUGUCAUUGUGUUUCCCCACAUCAGUCCCAUAAAACAUCCUUUCCUCAUGCUUGACAUAUUGAUAUCAUCCUACCACAGAUAAAACACAGAGCAGUGUAAUAUGGGCAGGUGAUGGAAUUAUUUGGAAUACACAGAAAUCUCUGCUGAUGUUUAAGACUGGUGUGAUAUUAAACACAUUACUUUCCCUGACAGGCAUUUUCAUUAUACCUAUGCCGUACAGGUGGAGAAUCUAAAAGUGAAAUCUUGUUUCCCCCAACCGGGUCCAUGCAAUAAUGCAAUAAAAUUUAAAAAGUUGUGUGUGUGUGUGUGUAUGUGUGUUGGCCUUUAUGAAAAACACUCUAAAUUCACAUUUCACAAUUUGUUACCCACCCCACUCCCUCAUAGCUUGUGAUGUUUUUAAAUGCUUAUGAAGUAGCUCAGCCCCAGAAUGAACUUUCUGAAGUCCACACAUGAUCAAUUUCUGUACUCACUUAAUAUCCUUCAGGUGAUUCUUUGGUCAUCUUAGGUUGAAAUACAAAUGCUUUAUCAUUCACAAGGCUUAUCAUGGUCUGCUAUCUCUCUCACUUUCCAACAAUAUCUAUUUCAUUCCCCUAUCCAGAUGUCAGCCAUAUUGCAUAACCCAGAGAAUUUUGAAUACCAUACUUCAGAUUUGGAACUUUCUGCAUAUAUGCAUUGAGUGCUCACUGAAAGAUUUUAAGCAAAGAGGUGAAAUUGUGUGAACUGUGCAUUAGGAAGAUUUCUCUGGAGGAACUUUAUAGCAGGCCCUGUUUAAAAAAAAAAAAAAA
rnacentral:lncRNA from 1 species